rnacentral:rRNA from 1 species
GACGAACGCUGGCGGCGUGCUUAACACAUGCAAGUCGAGCGGAAAGGCCCUUCGGGGUACUCGAUCGGCGAACGGGUGGGUGACACGUUAAUAACCGGCUCUCGACUUUAUGAUAAUCCGCGGAAUCGGGGGCUAAUACCCGAAACUCCGUCGAAAUCGCAUGAUGUGGGGGGGAAAGUUGUGCGGUAUGGUAUGGGCUCGAGGCCUAUCAGCUUGUUGGGGGGGUAAUGGCAGACAAAGGCGAGGACGGGUAGCCGGCCGGAGAGGGGGAACGGCCACACUGGGCCUGCGGGAGGGACCAGACUCCUACGGGCGGCAGCGGUGGGGAAUAUUGCACAAUGGGCGGGAGCCUGAUGCAGCGACGCCGCGUGAGGGAUGACGGCCUUCGGGUUGUAAACCUCUUUCAGCAGGGACGAAGAGUAAGUGACGGUACCUGCAGAAGAAGCGCCGGCCAACUACGUG